UAAUAAUUUAUAGAAUUUAAAUUGUUGAAUUCUAUUAAUUAUUAAACGCUAAAGGUACAUAGAAUAGUCCCAUAAAACUAACUGUGAAGUAAGAGCCAAAUUCAAUGUUAUGAUAUAUGCCCGACUCUAAUGCUGCACUAACUGUGCGCAACAUGUCGGGGGUUCGAUACCCGCGUAGUACAAGUAUUGUAGUGUAGUGGUGACUACUUGAAGUCUUGAAUGUUCGUAAACCCCCGAAACAGAAAAAUAAAGUUUCUUAUUGCGUUUAAAACAAAAUACUACACAAAAAUAACUGCCAAUCGACAAUCAUUACGCAUCACAAAAAUAUAAACAGAAAAACCGUUCCACGCAACUUUGAACGGGCGUCGAAUUAUAACCUUCUGUUGUCAACUUGUAUGAUGGCUCAGUUUAAGAGCGAAUCAUUCAUGUAGCUUGCCACACUGUAUUUGUAUUCCUAGCAGGAUAGACGUACUGUCACAAUAAUGAAGUUUAUUUUCGUAUUGUUUUUGUUCCUCGUUUUCGCUUCGGCGCGGAAAUAUAAAGGAUUGCCUCCAGGUUACACGAUAGAUGACAACUUCGGCCUACCAUCGAAGAGAAUCCAAGCCCUGUACAGAUCAGUGUCCAGCCCGAGCCCAAACGCAAACGAAACCACGAGAUAAAAAAGAACAGUGCUGUGUUUAGUGUUACAAACUAUUAAUAUGCAUGAAGCUACCGUGAGCAGUAAUGUAAAAAUUAACGAUUAAAUUAUUUGUUAUGUCUAAUUAAUGUAUUUUGUAUGACGUAGUUUUAAAAUUGUCGGUGAAAUAAUGGCGAUGACGCACGGAUGGUAUCAUAAAGUCAUAGGUACAUUUCAUCAUAAUAAUAUUCCUUUUCAGUAAA